AUUGUACGCAGAUGAUGGAGAGGCGGGACAUGGGGUGGCAGGGGCUCCUGGCCUUAGCCUCUCAGCCCUAAUAUUCGUGAUCAAGUCUUCCGGUUCGUUUAAAGGUGGCCAUGGAAUGGUGUAGCAGAUUGCUGCAGAUGGUUUCAAUAGUUCUGCUGAAUGCUCCUUGUUUGUGCCUGCAAGAGGAACUCAAGGCUUUAUGUAUGGCCAUUGCUGUGACCUAGUGUGAUGCUCUACUUUUCCACUGAACUCUGCUUGCUCUAACUGAGGACCUUAGCUAUAAUUUAGCCUUUUCUUUUUGUAAGUAACUACACAUAGUUGAGACAAAAUUAUUUUGAUGUUUAAAAAACAAUUUUAUUAACCAGGCGGUGGUGGCACACACCUUUAAUCCCAGCACUUGGGAGGCAGAGGCAGGCGGAUUUCUGAGUACGAGGCCAGCCUGCUCUACAAAGUGAGUUCCAGGACAGCCAGGGCUACACAGAGAAACCCUGUCUUGAAAACAAACAAAGAAACAAACAAACAAGCAAAAGAAAAA
rnacentral:lncRNA from 1 species